CCUACGGGAGGCAGCAGUGGGGAAUAUUGGGCAAUGGGCGCAAGCCUGACCCAGCAACGCCGCGUGAAGGAAGAAGGCUUUCGGGUUGUAAACUUCUUUUAAGGGGGACGAACAGAUGACGGUACCCCUUGAAUAAGCCACGGCUAACUACGUGCCAGCAGCCGCGGUAAUACGUAGGUGGCAAGCGUUAUCCGGAUUUAUUGGGUGUAAAGGGCGUGUAGGCGGGAGCGCAAGUCAGAUGUGAAAACUCAGGGCUCAACCCUGGGCCUGCAUUUGAAACUGUGUUGCUUGAGUGCUGGAGAGGCAAGCGGAAUUCCGGGUGUAGCGGUGAAAUGCGUAGAUAUAAGGAGGAACACCAGUGGCGAAGGCGGAUUGCUGGACAAUAACUGACGCUGAGGCGCGAAAGCGUGGGGAGCAAACAGGAUUAGAUACCCGAGUAGUC
rnacentral:rRNA from 1 species